GAUGAACGCUGGCGGCGUGCCUAAUACAUGCAAGUCGAGCGAACAGAUGAGGAGCUUGCUCCUCUGACGUUAGCGGCGGACGGGUGAGUAACACGUGGAUAACCUACCUAUAAGACUGGGAUAACUUCGGGAAACCGGAGCUAAUACCGGAUAAUAUAUUGAACCGCAUGGUUCAAUAGUGAAAGACGGUUUUGCUGUCACUUAUAGAUGGAUCCGCGCCGCAUUAGCUAGUUGGUAAGGUAACGGCUUACCAAGGCGACGAUGCGUAGCCGACCUGAGAGGGUGAUCGGCCACACUGGAACUGAGACACGGUCCAGACUCCUACGGGAGGCAGCAGUAGGGAAUCUUCCGCAAUGGGCGAAAGCCUGACGGAGCAACGCCGCGUGAGUGAUGAAGGUCUUCGGAUCGUGAAACUCUGUUAUUAGGGAAGAACAAAUGUGUAAGUAACUAUGCACGUCUUGACGGUACCUAAUCAGAAAGCCACGGCUAACUACGUG
rnacentral:rRNA from 1 species